rnacentral:rRNA from 1 species
UACGUAGGGUGCGAGCGUUGUCCGGAAUUAUUGGGCGUAAAGGGCUUGUAGGCGGUUUGUCGCGUCGGGUGUGAAAACUCAGGGCUUAACCCUGAGCCUGCUUCCGAUACGGGCAGACUAGAGGUAUGCAGGGGAGAACGGAAUUCCUGGUGUAGCGGUGAAAUGCGCAGAUAUCAGGAGGAACACCGGUGGCGAAGGCGGUUCUCUGGGAAUGACCUGACGCUGAGGAGCGAAAGUGUGGGGAGCGAACAGG